GUCUUCAGGAGUGUUGUGCCUGUGCUGGUGGCCCUGGAAAAGCCUUCCUGACUGCUGUUGAAAUGUCAGAUGGUAAAAACAACCAAGAGUUCCAGAUGGGGCAAUUGGAAGAGAAACAUGCUGAAGAUGAUAAUAAGAAAGUUCUGGAUUCUCUCAAGUGGGAGUCCCAUGUCCUCACCUGUGACUUCCAAAUGCAGUCACUGUUCAAGUCUUGUGCAAAGCAGCAUGCC
rnacentral:lncRNA from 1 species